AAUCCCAGUACUUGGAAGGCAGAGGCAGAUGGAUCUCUGUGAGUCUGAGGCCAGCCUGGUCUACAGAGUGAAUCCCAGGACAGCUGGAGCUACAAAGUGAGGUCCUACCUCAAAUGUUUCCCUCUGCAAACAAAACAAACCAGGCUUCUCUAAAAAUCAGAAGGAAAAGAUAAAUAGGAAAAAAUAGCUUGAGAAUAUAUACAGGGAGCCGAAAAGAUGGCUCAGUGGGUACAGACAUACCAAAUUCAGCUCAUGGGCUUAACAUGGUGAAUGGAGAGAACCAACUCCUGGAAGCUGUCGCUGACCUCCACAUGUGUGUCAUGGCACAUGAACACAUGUGCACACAUAAAUAUAAAAUUUAAAUAUAUAAACAAUUAUACAUAUAUAUGGUAUUUGCUCAAAGUCAAUGGUAAUCUGGAAGGCAAAAGAGAAAUACUAUUUCACACCCAUUUACAGGUGCUAAAAUUUUAAGGUUUGCGGAGCAGAUUAGACUUUUUUUUUUUCCAAAGAAAGAAAAAAAAAUGAACUUGUGUAACACUAGCUGUUUAUUCCAGUAACAGGAGCAGCAGCUGCGGGGAGAACUGGAUCUCAGCUGCUCAGUCCAAGCUGUCCAGGAGGCAGCAGCAGCAGAGGGCAGCCCAGCACGCAGCCAGGACUGCCUGACAGCCGCCAUCCAUGUCCGUCUUCCUUUCCCGUUCCAUAAUGUACACUGGGAGGGAGGGGCGGGCGGGGGAAGAGAGAGACCAGUUAAGGAGGAGCUUGGGGCAGUGUGGUCUGGCAGCACUUAGCACACUGAAAGACUCGCACACAAAACUCAGCUCCAUGAGGGCAGGACAGGGGCUGCUCCAGUGUCUGUCACUCAUCAGAAUUGUCAGACUGCUGUUUCCAGUCAUUUCACUUUCCAAAAGUUCUGAACCCCACCCACCACCUCAUUUGAUGUUGUCUAUAGUGACCCAGUUUGCAGCCUUUGUCCUAAGCCCGAUGUAUGUGGCUUUGGGAAGCUUUACCCACUCUCAUUUAAUCCUCACAAGCACUGUAUUACUAUUGUCACAGUGACACUCCCAUACACCUUUUCAGGAGGCAUGGCAUGUCUGGGAAGGGAAAUUUGUAGAGAUGGGAUACAACUCCUGUUGCUAAGAAAAACAAACAACAACAAAAAACAAACAAAAAACAAAAAGCCUGGUAGCUAGAAUUUAGCCUAGAGUCCAAUCAGCUAAAGGAAGACAGGGCACAGAGUAGAAUACCAGCCUUUAAAGAGAGCUAGAUAGGUCUUCAUGUGGUCAAGAGUGUAGGGAAGAGAGGGAUAUAGUAAUGCUUUUAUAUUAUUUAUAUGGAAAGGGUUAUCCAUGCUUCUGAGACAAUGUAAGAAACCUAAAUGUCAGGGUAUGGGGAAGAACAGAGAUUUUCAAUUUAUGUUUUUCACUUUUCUUAAAUCUAGGCUUACUUGAUUCCAAAGCCACACUCAAAUAUGCAAGAGAGGAAGGGAAGCAGAGAAGGCCAUGCUACAGCAGGAAGCUAACUAUCUGACUGGCUGCCUUGGACCCCUCUGUCCUCUCUGAGGCCCUCCAAUAUCUGCUACACUAGGACACAGGACUGAAGCAUCCUCGUCAGCACACCUGCCUACAUCUCCCAGACAUGGCCUUCACAAUUUAUCAUCACCAUCACUGGCCCAGGCCCAUGAAGCCCUGCACACUUACAGCCAACCCUGGAGUGGAGUCUGGAAAAAGAAGACACUGUCUAACUCAGUGAGUUCACAGAAUAGUUGGAGAGAAGAAAUGAAGACGCCACACAUAGGCACAUGCUUGGAGGUAAAGGCAGAAUCAACAUGGAACACAACUGAAAUUCAGAGUCAUAAUGCGCUGAGCUCUGGCUAUCCUGGAACUCACUAUCACUAUAGAGACCAGCCGACCUCUUAACUAUCAAGGAUCUACCUGCUUCUGCUUCCCAAGUAAACCAAGUGGUGGGAUUAAAGGUGUGUGCCAUCCUGCCCGGCCUCCACCACCUUACACCUCCUCUACGCUGGGCAAGUGCUUGGGAGCUGGUGAUGUGGCUCUGUGGUAAGCAUGUAUGAGAUCCUGGGUUCUAGCUUCAGAGUUCUGAGAGAAUCUAGAUACUAUUAAAAAUAAAAUCAAGAUAUAAAGAGAUUCUACCUUCAAGCAAAGUACAAAUGAAAGACUAGGGGGCUGGAAAGAUGGCUUGGCUCAGUGCUUUACUGUCACUGUUUGCUCCUACAGAGGACCCACAUGGCAGCUGACAACCAUCUGUAACUUCGGUUCCAGGGGACCUGAUGCCCUCUUCUAACCUCCAUGGGCACCAAGCAUGUGUGCAUUGCACAUUCAUACAUGCAGGCCAGACAUUCAUUCGCAUAAAAUAAACAUAAACAUAAAAAAACAAUCCAUUCUAGGCUGCUCCUGUGGUCUCUGAGAAGGGAUGUCCUAGUUAAAGGGGAAAAAUCUAAUGCCUGGGAUCCCAACAAGAAACCUGAGUUAUACCCCAAGAACAGAAAAUUAUGAGAACAUGUGCAAUCUGCUCUUCCUCCAUGCUUUAAAAAUCCCCUAAUGUCUAAAAUGCCAAGAGUGAGUCAGACCCACACUAGGAGGGGGAUCCUUUCCAUUCGGUAUCCCAGUCUAAAUGUAUAAUCCAACGCCCCCCAACAGGUAGGAAAAAGAGGCAAGUACUAUUGCAAGUACUAUCAAAACUCAAGGGUAGCAGCUUUGAUAGCAUAGAGCAGCAGGCUUCCUGAUGCAAGCUGGUAAUACUUACCCUAAGAGUUGACAGGAAAAUAUUCCCUGGAGAGUAGACCUACUCUUCUGGGGAGCCAAGGCUAAACAAGAGGAUAAGGGCAGUGACUUGAAUACUGUCAGGGUUCAUUCACUGGGUCUGUUUCUGUGGACCCCAGUUAGCUGCCAGCUUCUUCACUUAGCUUGGGUGGAAGGUAGGCCUUGUCAGUUCUGUAUGCCCAAAGUCCAGCUCUUAUAAACACAUGCUCACUGGAUUUCAGUUAUGCUUAAUACACUUGGCAUAAUCCAUUUAAGUCAAAUGCAAGUCCCUUCCCUCUCUGUGGCUCAGUUUCCUCUCCUGAAAAAUGGCUACAUUUACAGCAGCAACCUCUUAGGGUGAUUAUAAAGCACAUAUGAGAUAUUCCUUAAGAAGCAGUUAGUACAGUGCCUAGCACAAAAUAAAAUAAAAAUCAUGGCUGUUAUUGCUUUUAUUCUUUCUAAAUUAGCCAAGGGUUAAGAGGAAAAGUAAUCUUUUUUGUAGUGCUUUUUGUAUACUGAUUUGAGAUUUAAAAAUGAAAACAAGAACAACUGGUCUUUGGAAAUGGCUGAGUCAGUAAGGUGCUUGCUGUGCAAACAUUAAGGAUGUGAAUUCAGAGCCCUAAGACCCACAUAAAGAGCUAGUCGUGAUGGUAUACGCCUAUAACCAGCACUUGGAGAUGGUGGUGAGCAGACAGAUCCUGGGGGCUUGCUGGCCAGUCAGUCUAACAGAAACAGUGAACUCCAGAUUCAGCAAGGUAGAGCAACAACUGGGGAGGACACCCCAGUAUCAACAUCAUAGGUGAGGCACAUGCUAGAUUAGGGUGGAGGGAAACAUAGCUUGGAAUCAGCAUAGUGAGGCUAACAUCUGAAUUAGAGACCUCAGUAUAAACCAACACCCAUUCCUGAAGGCUCACAUUCUCAGGGGCCAAGACACAGCCAAUGUCAGCCAUGACAAUUUAAAAUGGAAACAGAAACAAGAACAUCACAACACCCAGAUCACUUUAGUGCAGUACGGGACUAGCUUCAAAUAUAUCCCCUGGAUGAAGAUCAUGUAUUAGAUGAAUUUCAAAAGGGCUGCAUCACAAACUGGAGAGAUGGCUCAGCCAGUAAAGCCUGCUGCCAAGCGUGACAGAGUUCAAUUCCGGGAACUCACGUGGUAGAAUAGAGAGCAUGCUGGUUACAGGCUCUUCCACAACUCAGGAAGACACAAUUGUGUAACUUUUUUUUUGUUUGUUUUGUUUUUGUUUGUUUGUUUGUUUUUUG